rnacentral:rRNA from 1 species
AGUCUGCAACUCGACUACAUGAAGCUGGAAUCGCUAGUAAUCGCGGAUCAGAAUGCCGCGGUGAAUACGUUCCCGGGUCUUGUACACACCGCCCGUCACACCAUGGGAGUCGGAAAUGCCCGAAGUCUGUGACCGAACCGAAAGGAAGGAGCAGCCGAAGGCAGGUCGGAUGACUGGGGUGAAGUCGUAACAAGGUAAC